rnacentral:sRNA from 1 species
UACGGGGAAGGAUGAGAAGCUUCGACUAAGGUUCGAUUCGAGCGAAAGCGAGAGAACGUUGCCAACGGCAACGGCCCGAAGGGCGAAGCGCGCAGCGCUGAGUCAUCCUUCCCCCACCACCA